rnacentral:rRNA from 1 species
AAGCGCUUGUGACCAGACUUGCGCCCGGCAGAUCAUCCGGUGUUCUCACCGGUGCACUCUGCCGGGCUCAGGCCAGCAUCGGUUCUUGUGGGGGGAUAAAAGCCUUGGGAACGUAGCUCCUCCGGGAGUGUUAUAGCCCUCGGCGCAAUGCCCCCGCGGGGACCGAGGACCGCGCUUCGGCAAGGAUGCUGGCGUAAUGGUCAUCAGCGA